rnacentral:rRNA from 1 species
UACGUAGGGAGCAAGCGUUGUCCGGAAUCAUUGGGCGUAAAGCGCGCGUAGGUGGCCCCAUAAGUCCGCUGUGAAAGUCAAAGGCUCAACCUUUGAAAGCCGGUGGAUACUGUGGGACUAGAGUACGGAAGAGGCGAGUGGAAUUCCUGGUGUAGCGGUGGAAUGCGCAGAUAUCAGGAGGAACACCAGCGGUGUAGACGGCUUUCUGGACCAUUGCUGACGCUGAGACACGAAAGCGUGGGUAGCAAACAGG